rnacentral:rRNA from 1 species
UACGUAGGGGGCAAGCGUUGUCCGGAUUUACUGGGCGUAAAGAGCGUGUAGGCGGCCACGCAGGUCCGUUGUGAAAACUGGAGGCUCAACCUUCAGACGUCGACGGAAACCGUGUGGCUAGAGUCCGGAAGAGGAGAGUGGAAUUCCUGGUGUAGCGGUGAAAUGCGCAGAUAUCAGGAAGAACACCAAUGGCGAAGGCAGCUCUCUGGGACGGUACUGACGCUGAGGCGCGAAAGCGUGGGGAGCGAACAGG